UACGAAGGGGGCUAGCGUUGCUCGGAAUCACUGGGCGUAAAGGGUGCGUAGGCGGGUCUUUAAGUCAGGGGUGAAAUCCUGGAGCUCAACUCCAGAACUGCCUUUGAUACUGAGGAUCUUGAGUCCGGGAGAGGUGAGUGGAACUGCGAGUGUAGAGGUGAAAUUCGUAGAUACUCGCAAGAACACCAGUGGCGAAGGCGGCUCACUGGCCCGGUACUGACGCUGAGGCACGAAAGCGUGGGGAGCAAACAGG
rnacentral:rRNA from 1 species